rnacentral:rRNA from 1 species
GAAAGCGUGGGUAGCGANCAGGAUUAGAUACCCUGGUAGUCCACGCCGUAAACGAUGAGUGCUAGGUGUUAGGCCCUUUCCGGGGCUUAGUGCCGGAGCUAACGCAAUAAGCACUCCGCCUGGGGAGUACGACCGCAAGGUUGAAACUCAAAGGAAUUGACGGGGGCCCGCACAAGCGGUGGAGCAUGUGGUUUAAUUCGAAGCAACGCGAAGAACCUUACCAGGUCUUGACAUCCCGAUGCUAUUCUUAGAGAUAGGAAGUUACUUCGGUACAUCGGAGACAGGUGGUGCAUGGUUGUCGUCAGCUCGUGUCGUGAGAUGUUGGGUUAAGUCCCGCAACGAGCGCAACCCUUAUUGUUAGUUGCCAUCAUUAAGUUGGGCACUCUAGCGAGACUGCCGGUAAUAAACCGGAGGAAGGUGGGGAUGACGUCAAAUCAUCAUGCCCCUUAUGACCUGGGCUACACACGUGCUACAAUGGUCGGUACAACGAGUUGCGAGCCGGUGACGGCAAGCUAAUCUCUGAAAGCCGAUCUCAGUUCGGAUUGGAGGCUG